rnacentral:lncRNA from 1 species
UAAAUGUAAAGACAAAUUUAAAUUGCAUAACUUACUGAUUACAUAUACAGAGACUUGCAAAUUUCUUCCACUCAGGAGGAUAAAAAGAAGGUAAAGAAGAUAGAUUACAAUCACACAUAUUACACUAGAGAAGUCAUAGAAGUUACCGACUUUAGUGGUAUACAGGUGUCGAUGACUUGAAUCUAAACCUACGGUCUAGGUACAGGGUGAAAAAGAAGAAGGUAAGAAGAAGAGAAGAGAUGAGAGAGAGAGUAUGAGAAACUCUGAAAGGCUAUGCUGCUAUUGCGGAAUGGACUCGAUCUGCUGCUUGAAUGUUAUCCUUGAUGCUCCUCCUUUUGCCUUCGGGAGAUCCUUGGUAUUUAUAGAGGAUUGCUGAAGUAGUGGAUGUGGCUGAGAAUGGUUGCUUCUUUACGAAGGAACUUCUUGUGGCUCUCCUUCAUUGCUUUGGAAUAAUAUUGUCGGUGAUGUGUCGGUGAAGAGGAUAUACACGUGGCUGGAGUAGGAAAGCUCUGGGCAACUGAUGAUGAUUGAUAAGAGAUAUAGGGAAUAUUUUGGUUCGUGUGAGCAACACGUAUGAGUCUUCAACGAAGAGGGAAGGGACACGUCAGUAGCUGAUUUGACCCCAAAUUCGUCAUAUCAGUGAAUAGUGACGAAGGAAUCUUUACUAUGCAUUUGUCGCUUCUAUUUGAAAAGCAUCUUUGUACUAUUGUGCUGUCGAAUCGGUCGGAUGAAGGGAAUCUUUUCUUGUCAUUUUGCAGAGGUGUUUUGUCGUUUUUUGUGAGAGGAUAGAAGGGAAUCUUUUUG